AAAGAAUAGUAACAUAAAAAAAUAAAAUGGCCUGACAGAUCCAAAAGUUUCAUGGAGAAUCAACAUUGAAUUGAUCCUAAAAGGUCACAGUGAGGACAUCCCUGCCCUUGAAGGGACAGAAAGUAGUAAAAAAUGCAGUCUGACCUUGGUGGGCUGGGGCUGGGUCAAAAGCUGCCUGCAGCCUUGCAAGCCUUGCAUUGGGUACCGAGGAGCACAAGGUAAAUGUUGGAGUACCACCACUUCCAGUUAGGUUCAUGUGUUUUUUUUUUUUUUUUUUUUUUUUUUUUUUUUUUUAUCUGCUGUGUUUACAGAUCACUUUCCCUCUCUGUGUCAGGCUGACAGCAAGCAGACAACUGUGACACUGAUACGUUGUUUGAGUUGCACCCAUUCCUCAGGAUCUGUGAUUUACAAAGUUUUACCAAAGUCCUGAGAACAGCAUAAGCAGGAAAUACUACCCUGAAAGACUGUGAGAGACCAGAAGUGCCUGUGGAUCUACAGUUUUGGCAGACAGAAGAUAAAAAUCCUGAGCUGUGCCUGGAAGGAAGUGCCAUUUCACCAGAAGUGAAGAGUAACUCUGAGAGAGACCACACUGAAACCUCUCCUGCUUGUGCAGAAGCCAAAGAGCAGAAGGUUCCUACUCCUGGUCCCGAAAGACCACCCAGACAUCCUGUCUUAAUGAGGAAGCUUUUCCAUUGGUUUGAAUGAGCUUUCAAACAGUCUCUUCUUUUUUCUGGGUCCAACCAGUCUCUGGCAUGCUAAAUGCCAGUCUCACUUAGCUGAAAUGCCAGAAUUACUGUUACCAGGGACUUAAAUUAAAACUUUUAUGCCAUAGAAAAUCUCAAGGUGUUGUUAGGUCCCUGCAAAUGAACAAAUAGUUACCAGAAGCUGCAAGAAAACAAGACUUAAUGACAGGGGAGAAAACACCAGGGGAAUGAAUGGGUCUCUUUCUCCACCUCUCUUGUCUCAGGACACCCCAUACUGACCUACAAGGAGACUUUUUCCCCUCUAGUUUAUUGGAAUAACCACCAAAAAAGUAUUCCUAACACUCACCCUCAAAAGCCUGCUUUUGUUUAUUGCCUAGAAAGAGACCGUGUUAUUGGUUUUUAAUCUUUAUUGGAAUAAUUAUUUUUUGAAAGGGAAUCCACCGUUCAAGUACAGAAACAAAUUAAGGUCAGAGAGAAGCACCUAGCUUUGUGUAAGUGUUUAGUCUCUUCUUGUGAAGUGGCUGGUUCUGCAUGAAUUACCAUUAAUAAUAAAAUGUAUGUAAGAUAGCGACA
rnacentral:lncRNA from 1 species